AGAGUUUGAUCAUGGCUCAGAACGUACGCUGGCGGCACGCUAACACAUGCAAGUCGAACGAAGUAGCAAUACUUAGUGGCAGACGGGUGAGUAACAUGUGGGUAUCUACCCUUUGGCCUGGAAUAACACGAGGAAACUUGUGCUAAUACUGGAUAAGUCUUUACGGAGAAAGCUUUAUGCACCAUUGGAUGAGCCCGCAUUUGAUUAGUUUGUUGGUAGGGUAAUGGCCUACCAAGACUUUGAUCAAUAGCUGAUUUGAGAGGAUGAUCAGCCACAUUGGGACUGAGACACGGCCCAAACUCCUACGGGAGGCAGCAGUGGGGAAUCUUGCACAAUGGAGGAAACUCUGAUGCAGCGAUGCCGCGUGAGUGAAGAAGGCCCUUGGGUUGUAAAGCUCUUUCGUCGGGGAAGAAAAUGACUGUACCCGAAUAAGAAGGUCCGGCUAACUUCGUGCCAGCAGCCGCGGUAAUACGAAGGGACCUAGCGUAGUUCGGAAUUACUGGGCUUAAAGAGUUCGUAGGUGGUUGAAAAAGUUGGUGGUGAAAUCCCAGAGCUUAACUCUGGAACUGCCAUCAAAACUUUUCAGCUAGAGUUUGAUAGAGGAAAGCAGAAUUUCUAGUGUAGAGGUGAAAUUCGUAGAUAUUAGAAAGAAUACCAAUUGCGAAGGCAGCUUUCUGGAUCAUUACUGACACUGAGGAACGAAAGCAUGGGUAGCGAAGAGGAUUAGAUACCCUCGUAGUCCAUGCCGUAAACGAUGUGUGUUAGACGUUGGAAAUUUAUUUUCAGUGUCGCAGCGAAAGCGAUAAACACACCGCCUGGGGAGUACGACCGCAAGGUUAAAACUCAAAUGAAUUGACGGGGACCCGCACAAGUAGUGGAGCAUGUGGUUUAAUUCGAAGAUACGCGCAGAACCUUACCAACACUUGACAUGUUCGUCGCGACUUUAAGAGAUUAAAGUUUUCGGUUCGGCCGGACGAAAC
rnacentral:rRNA from 1 species